UACGGAGGGGGCGAGCGUUAUUCGGAAUUAUUGGGCGUAAAGGGCGCGUAGGCGGCCCGGUAAGUCAAAGGUGAAAUCCCUCGGCUCAACUGAGGAACUGCCUUUGAAACUGUCGGGCUUGAGGCCGGGAGGGGGUAGCGGAAUUCCCAGUGUAGCGGUGAAAUGCGUAGAUACUGGGAAGAACACCUGAGGCGAAGGCGGGUUGCUGGGCCGACACUGACGCUGAGGCGCGAAAGCCAGGGGAGCAAACGGG
rnacentral:rRNA from 1 species